UGGUGCUGACAGUGGGUCCUGUCACCCUCCUGCAGUCUGUGCUUCACGUGGACAUGUGUGCACUAUUUAUGUGGCUAAUAGGCUUCCUUACUGAGGGCAACAUUUACAUGCCAUAAAAAGUCCAUUAGGCUGAAUUUAAGCUUCUCCAGAGAUCAUGGGGCCUAAUCUGUACUUGGCAUUUGACAUGGAGGGAAUUGAAAAUCCCAAGGACCCUUUCUGCUGGGCCGUUGCCGGGAUUGAGGAGAGAGCUUCGCUGAAGGCGUGAGUAGGUGAAUGGAUGUGUUAGGUACCAAUCCCAGGACUAUCGGGCAGACUCAGAAGCAGCACGUGGGGAACGUUCUCAGACUUGAUGCAUUAGCUGAUGACCCACAGUGCACCAAGGCUCCCCACCUUCUCCUGGAGUCAGGCCGCUUGUCAAGUCUCCAGCCCCUCAGAGGCUGGCCCUGGACAAUCAGAUCUGUGUGCAUUUGCCUGAGGAGUCAUCUCUAUGCUCCUCCUGCUUCAGGGCGUUGUUUUGGUGCCAUACUCUGCAACCUCCAGUCUUGGCCCUCUGCCUGUUGUGUUGAACAGGUAGCCUGGGGAGAGGGACUUCCUGAGACGGCAGAAUGAUUUAAAGGCAUUCUGGUGAGAUUCAGUCUGGAAGCAACAAUUCCUUGUGCAAGAUGUGUGAGGGGAAAAAAAUAAGUGUAUCUUGCUCUGGCCUUCAAUUCAUGGAAAGCUAUAUGAAUUAGAACUCAGAUGUCAGAUCAUCAAUGAAAGAAAAUCUUGUUUAAGUAAACGUUUAACUGUUCACUCAUGUCUUCAUGAUGUAGAGAUUAAGAGUGUGAACCUUAGAGGCUGGGCGUGGUGGCUCAUGCCUGUAAUCCAAGCACUUUGGAGGCCAAGGCGGCGGAUCACCUGAGGUCGGGAGUUCAAGAAUGUGAACCUUAAUGUAGACUGCUUGGGUCCCAGUGUCACCAGUUACUAGCUGUGUGGCCUUGGCAAGUCAUUUAAUUUCUCUGAGCAUAAAUUUCCUCAUCUAGAAAACAGCAUCCAGCUCACUGAAUUUUGAGAAAUUGAAUAAUGCAUAAAUAAAACACUACCUGCUUUAUCUGCUCUGCGCCCUACCAAAUUUUGUUGUUGCUUUGUAGUUAUAAUUAUUCUAAUGGUAUUCUAAUCCUAGAUUGAUUGUUCACGAGCUUUUUACCUUACUUACUAUGACUAAGCUCCAUGUGCAGGGAGCUAUGGGACAGAGGGAAGGGUCAGAUUUCAUUUCAGUUGCAUUAAAGAAGAAUAAA